rnacentral:lncRNA from 1 species
AAAAACAAGUUAACGCAAUAUUUGAGUAGAUUCUAACAUUCAUCCAUCCUAUCACUCAUCCUUUACUACAAACAGUUUAAAGUUUAAAUUGGUAUAAUGUUUAGUUUAAGUUUUACACGGAUACAAAAUCCAAAGUGAGAUUUGCCCCAUUAUAUAUAGAGAGAAAUAGACAUAUGUAAAUUAUGAUUGCACAAUUUGUCCAUUGAUAAAAUGUACGAAGAUACACCUUAAGUUCCGUAAGUUUCCUUCAUAAAAAAAAAGAUUCAUAGUCAGUAUUUCUUUAAAAAUUGUCUUUUGCUCGUUUACUUUAUCGAUAAAUUUGGUAAAUCCGAUAUUUUAAAAAAUCUACAAAAACUUAAGAAUUAAUACUUGGAUGAUUUUACAAGUUAUAUAUAUAUAUAUAUAUUAACAAAAACAAAGAAGAACAAAAGACGAAUAAGCUUUUAUAAUUAAAACAAAAAACAAAAGCUUGUCCAAUAAGCUUUUAUUAAAAAAAAAACAAACGAAAAAAAAAAAGUACAAUGGGUGAAUUAAGUGAACCAAAAUAUUUAAUAAAAGAAAACACUAACAUGAAGAGAAAUAGAAAUAGGUCAUUUUAGGGUUUGUUUAAUAAAGCUUUUGUUUCUUUUUUCACUUUAUAAUUAGUCAUGUUUUCCAUUUCUUUCCUAAAAAAAAUAAAAAACAUAUAACUAUUUUCCUUUUUCUUUUUCUCUUUUUCGUUUUCCCCUUUUUGUGUUUUGUAAUAAUGUCAAGAAAAACUUAGUUCCAUUUUAGAUUUUCCAUAUACAUAUAUAAAUAUUAUUUUACAAAAAUUGAUUGAAUGUUUGUUGCUAUAUUUAGUGAAUAGUUCUAUAAAUAUUUACAAUAAUUUUGUAACUAAUGUUACUUGAUCUAGAUAUUAUGUAUAAAUGCAUUUUUAAUUUACUCACAAAGUUUGAAAGUUCUUUACUCAUAAAUUCCUAAACUUUAAAUUCUGACUUUAGUCUCUAUAACUGUCUUUUUUUUUUUUCUUUUUUAAAAUUUAGUCCCUGUAAAUAUCUAAUAGCCAUAUAAACUUCAAUUUUAUCUCUAAUAAUUUAUGAAAUAAUGAAAAUAUUUGUAAAUAAAUGUUUUAUAUAAGACGAAAAAUGUACUGGUUAAUUAAUUGAAUGUUAUGUAUUAAAUUAUGUAGUUAAUAGAUAAAAUUAAUUCUACCAAUGUGUCGAGUUGGAUUGGGUAAGGGUUUGUCAAGUCUAAGUUAUGGGGUAGGUGGUGGUUUGUUACUAUUUAUUUUAUCGGGCAAGAGUGUCAUCGUCUGCGGGGGCUUCUCUCGGAUGUUUCUAUGAUUGUUACUAUUGUGUGUGCUUGUUCUACUUCUUGAGAAAUAUUGUUGGUCUGCCUUGGAGGAGUUUGUUUUUUUCCAUUCUCUUUUUGUCUUUUCUUGUUUUAGUUGUGUUUCUUUCUUUCUUUGAUUUAUUCGGUAUGAUAUUUCGAGUUUUGGAGUAUCCCCUUGGACUUUAGUAGAUGCAUCUGGACAUCUCUACUAGGUGGAUAACCUCUUAGCACUCUCAUCAUUCCCGCUUCAUUAAUGAUAAAGAGUUCAAUACGAGAAGCAGGAAAGAUAACCAAGGCUAGAGAUAAGCCCAAAGAGGAAUAAUAAGUUAUACAAAUGCAUGGAGGUUUAAAGCAAUAGAGCUAUCUGUCACGUGGUUAGAAUCUAAAGCUAACCAUACGUGCAACACUUGGCUUGAUUAUGUUGUCCCCGUUAGCCAAGUAAGCCUUUCCCGAAAGGGGUAGUGCGCCAAGCACUACGCCAACAUGUUGCAGCGGAAGUACUUAGGUUGGUUGCAAGACACGAGAGAGGUUGGAAGGAUGAGGGAGUUUGGAUGGAUACGUCUUGGAAAUGAUACGUUACAUUCCAAGAAUAGAUGAAUACAUAUUUGGGUGCAAAUAUGUUGUCUCUUGCCAUGGGGGUGCCAUGGGCAAGGAGACUUUGUGUGGCAAGGUGACCUUGCUUGGCUAAGACAUGCCAAGAUACAAGGUUGCAAGGCUUGAUACAAAUGAGGCCCUCCCCAAGUAUUUAUAGACCAUCCUCACCGACCUUGGGCCUUAGAAGGUCGGCCAAGGGAGAUUCUAGAGAUUACAAGUUCAUUUGGUACAUAACAAGGAAGCCUAGAACAUUCUAGAGAGGACUAGACCUUUCAUGACACACCCUGAUCGUCAUAAUAGCCUUCUAGAGUGUUCCAGCACGUUCCAACAUCAUCCAGCACGUUUUGGGGCCUUCUCG